AGAGAUUGCAAUGAGGUUAAAACGCUCCCUCUUCUGAGUAAAGUUGAGGAAAAUUGCAGGCAGAAUCGAACCAUAAAUACUAGCCACCACUGAGCAA